AUAAAUGGUGUUUUGUGCAGUAGAUAUAUGUAUCUUAGGUUUUUUUGUUUGUAACUUUUGCUGCUGAAGACAGGUGUCCUCUGAGGUGUACGUGUCCCAAACCAUACAUAUCUUCUUUCUUCUCCUCCUGGUUAUACGCCACAAUUCCACCCCCACAAUCAGAUGGCAAAGAAACCGACGGCAAAGUCACGAAGAAACCGACAUGGAUACUUGGUUGUUUAAUUUCACUUCUCUUGCAGAUACCAGUGAUAACCCACCAAGAAACCAGGGUAUUUGGGCAUCUUGCCGCCUCCGACGAUAGCCGUUAGGGUUUCGGCAAAAUUCUGGUCAAUCUUCAAAUGUCUGACUUCACUGCAGUUAGGGCUUUACUCAAUUUCGACACUGAAGUGAAUGAGUUUCUUCUAUUUGGGUAGAAUGUGGUAGGGUUAAAAAGUAUUAGGAAAUAUUGUAUUAUUUGUUUGAAUUUGGGGUGCAUGCUGUUGAUUUGGUAGCUAUUACAAGUAAUAAUAAUGACCUAUUUUGAUAAAUUAAAUUUUUGUUAGUUGUUGAUUGUUUCUUCGUAAGAGAUGUUAGGUACUUUUCGAAGCCGCCCUUCGAGCGACCAAGUCGGGGAAUUCCAACGGUGAUUUUGAGUUCACGGACAAGCUCGGUUCAUCUGACGAAGAGACACGGGAAAUCGGGAAAAGGCUAUCCCCUUCGGUAUCAAAUUGUUCAACUUUAUAUACAAAACCUAGCUUCCGUAUUGGGUAGUGAAAAAGAAGCUAAGAAAUCAAUGUACUCGAUAUCUGCAAAGUAUUAAUAUGCUUUCAGUUGCAAGAUCCAUGGAAAGUGAUUCAUAGACUCAAAUUUAACGUUCUAAUUAGUUUACUUUUUAUAUAUCUGUUUGCUUGGUAGUUGAAGUUUACUGUAGUGGGAUCACACUUUUUGUUUGCAGCCAUGUCCAAUGUUAGAUCGAUUUUGGCGGAUUCUCGUAUUUCUUUUGGCAAUAAUGAUUAUAGAGGUGAAUCCACACACAUCAGCUGAAAGUAUGCGACUUCGGAUAUAAGCUGCAUGCACAGUUUCAGGUUAUAUCCACAAUUGUAAGCAACUACGCUUUCUACACAUGUUACGAAGCUGAAAGUAUGUCUUAAUGUCUAUACUUUUGAGAAUUAUGUGUUUAGGGGGUGUUUGGUAACAGUUUUUACCUGGUGUUAGAGAGUAGCAAGACUCUUGGUAUGCAUAUGAGAUUGUGUAAUGACACUAUUAGAUGGGGGGAUUCAGAUAGACCACAUAGUAAUGUCUGCGAUCAAUGCACAACAAAUAGGAGUCUUUGAUAAGCAAACAAGUACCAAAAAUCCUAAAAGAGGCAAGUCGUAAUGGAAAGAAGGCGGCUUUGUCGAAUUGAAUUCGUUUUUGUUGAGCCAGUUGAGAUGCGGCACUCUGAUUGAAGUUGUACAAGUCUUUUACGCUGUAAUGUUGUUUUCAUUAUGAAACAUAUUUGCAUGUUGGUGUAAUUUAAGUUGGUCGAUGCUUUAAGUUCUGUAUUGUAGUGCGUUUCACAUGGUUAAUGUUUGAUGUCAUAUAACCUUCACU